GGCAAAACUCAAAAAGCUUGUCAGACCUCCCGUGCCUAGUGACGGGUUGCUAAGCCACGAUUGGCCUGUGGCGGUUUUCGGGUGUGGCUUAACGAAGGGUGAAUUCUUCCUUACAUUAGCAGGCUCUCCUCUUGGUACCAGAGUUUGUGGGCAAAGCC